UACCGAGGUCUCAAGCGUUGUUCGGAUUCAUUGGGCGUAAAGGGUGCGUAGGUGGCUCGGUAAGUCGGGUGUGAAAUUUCGGAGCUUAACUCCGAAACUGCAUUCGAUACUGCCGUGCUUGAGGACUGGAGAGGAGACUGGAAUUUACGGUGUAGCGGUGAAAUGCGUAGAUAUCGUAAGGAAGACCAGUGGCGAAGGCGGGUCUCUGGACAGUUCCUGACGCUGAGGCACGAAGGUCAGGGGAGCAAACGGG
rnacentral:rRNA from 1 species